ACCGUGGUAGCUCAGUGGUAAAGCGUGCUCGUUGGGAGGUAGCAGACCUGACUAAUACUGGUUCGAUCCCGCCGCAUGGUA